rnacentral:rRNA from 1 species
GUACACGCUGUGACUAGCAUAUCAAUAAGCGGAGGAAAAGAAACUAACAAGGAUUCCCUCAGUAACGGCGAGUGAAGCGGGAAGAGCUCAAAUUUGAAAUCUUGAAAGGUCACCUUUCACGAAUUGUAGUUUAAAGAAGUGUUUUCUGUUACGAUCGUAAUAUAAGUUCUUUGGAAUAGGACAUCACUAGAGGGUGAGAAUCCCGUCUAUGAUUGCAUAUUUUCAGCUUUGUGAUACACUUUCAAAGAGUCGGAUUGUUUGGGAAUGCAGUCCAAAACUGGGUAGGUAAAUUUCAUUCUAAGCUAAAUAUUGGCGAGAGACCGAUAGCGAACAAGUACCGUGAGGGAAAGAUGAAAAGAACUUUGAAAAGAGAGUUAAAUAGUACGUGAAAUUGUCAAAAGGGAAGCGUUUAACACCAGUGUUGUUUUCUGAAAAUCAACCUCUGUUAGCUUUAUGCAUGUUUGUUUAGACCUAAUCAGCUAUCUUUCAUGUUCUAUUGUUUGCAGUGGUGCACUUUUCAGUUUACAGGUCAACAUCAGUUUUUUUUACCGUAAAAAAGUUAAAGAAAGGUAGCUCAUGGCUCCGGUCGUGAGUGUUAUAGUCUUUUUCCUAUGCGGUAGGAGAGACUGAGGUCUGCAGUGUAGGCUAUUUGGCUAGAUACUCAGGUGCUAUGUGAUACCAUUUCAUAAACAACUUGUUGAUUAUGUUUUGUCUAUUGCAUACUCGCUUGUACUAUCAUACCUACGCUUAGGAUGUUGAGUAGCGACAUACGCAC